rnacentral:lncRNA from 1 species
UGCAGAUCUCACCUGUGGAGGCUGGAGGUGUGGCCUAGUGGCAGAGCUGGUGCUUAGCACGUGUGAGGCUCUGGGUUUGAUUCCCAGCACCUGCUUCCCCAAAUCACCCGUGAGUGAAUACGUGAGCCGAGCCCCAGGUUCUAUGUGCACUGUGGGUGGAAGGGAUCUUAAAGAGGCAGAUUUGAAAGGAUGCAAAAAGGAUUCUAGGCCCUAACCAGAGCUGGCUUCCCUCAAAAGUAUGUUGUUUAGGAGCUUAAAAAAAAAAAAAAAGGCUAAUAUUAAUAAUAUUGACUGAUCAUUAGGGAUUCUUCAGAUGUAUUUAACAUGUUUCUUCAUAAAUCUUUAUGAAGCUACCCUGAGAAAGAUCUUCUGAUGGGGUGCAGAAUAUGAUAAUUACUAGAGAUGAUUGAAGAUGUACACACAUUGGCUUCAGUUGAAACCUGGCUCUCCAUCCUCUGCAGGACUUCUGCGAAGGAGCUGGGAGAGGGAGAAUACAGCCUUCCUUCCCCAGCCCCCAGCUGUUGAGAACUUAACCUUUGAAUUUAAGAUCACAGUCAGCCUUACGUUUCUGCAGGUCCCACAUCUGUGGGUUCAACCAACUGUGGAUCAAAGAUGUUCGAAAAAUAGUUGUAUCUGUACUAAACAUGCAGAGAACUGUUCUAGCCUUUUUUCUAAAUGAUACAAUAUGACAACUAUCAACAUAGCAUUUAUAGGGUAUCAGGUUUUAUAAGUCAUCUAGAGAUGAUUUGUAUAGAUUCUAUGCAAAUAUUAUGCUAAUUUCUAUAAGGAACUCGAGCAUCUUCAGAUUUUGGUAUCCAUGGGGCUGAUACCAAGGGAUGAAUGUAUUUCUCCAAUUCAAAGUUUGAAACUAUAAACUUUAUAAAAUUGCUCUUGCCCAAGAUUAUCACACAUUGCCAUAUAAUUUUUUUUUUUUUUUUGUGACCUGCAACUUAAAGAGAACUGGAUUUAUAUUUAACUUUGACUUAUCCAGUCACCAGGGACCACUCUUCCUCUCUCAGACUCUUGAGUUUUUCUCUCUUGGCAGAAGGAAAGCUGUCUGCAUUUGGCCUGUUCUCUCUGACCAAAGUGGCUCAGUGUCUUCUGCAGGUAAGUGGGUUCAAGGUUACAUUUAAGAUGGCGUGUACUUGCUGCCUUGAAAACAUUUAAAUUGAUUAUUUGCAAGUGUGUUUUUGGCCACAGGCUAAAAUGAUGAGAGUCUGGAAAUCAGAUUAGCGCAGAAGCAAAUCAGAUUUUUGAAGUAUGUAUUCUAUCUUCAGGACUUCAAACUUGGGGAGGGAACCAUUUAAAGAAUUGAGUAUACUUUCUUUCUUUCCUUUUUAUUGAGAUAUUUGACAGCACGUGAGCAACACCUGAAUCAGAUUCUUCUGUGGUGCUGAGGAUGGAACCCAGGGCCUCCCAUGCUGGAUGAGCGCUCAGCCACUGAGCCAACUUCCGAGGCCUGGAGCAGAGUGUCCAUCCCGGAUUCUCACGCGUGGCUUUGAUUGUGUUUGUGCUUCUAAAGGAAUCGAUGCUCAAGUGGGGCCAGGUGAAUUCAUGCACAAUGUGACCUCAAUUGCUUUUUGUUUCGUUGUGGCAAAUAUAUAUAUAACUUGAAUUGUGUCAUCCUAACCAUUUAAAGUGCCCAGUUCAGUGGCAUUAGGUAAUUCAUGUACAACCAUCAACACCCUCCAUCUCCAGAACUUUAUCAUCACCUCAGACUGAAACUGUAUCCAUUAAACAUUAAUUUUUCAUUCCUUCUCCCCCAACCCCUGGCUACCAUCUCUCUGAAUUGGAUGGCAGGAGGUACCCAGGCAAGUAGAAUCAUACAGUAGCUGUCUUUUGUGUCUGGCUGACUUAACUUAGCAUAAUGCCCCCCUGGUUCAUCCAUGCCAUGGCAUGGUGUCAGAAUUUCCUUUCUCAAAGAGGCUAAGAUCCAGCACAUGUAUAUACUGCACACUACACUUUCUUUUUCUUCUCCUUUUUUUUUUUGGUACUGGGGAUUGAACUCAGGGUACUUGACCACUGAGCCACAUCCCCAGCCCUAUUUUGUAUUUUACUAAGAGGGUCUCAUUGAGUUGCUCAGUGCCUUGCUGUUGCUGAGGAUGGCUUUGAACUCACCAUCCUCCUGCCUUAGCCUCCUGAGCUGCUGGUACACCCCACCUCGCCUCUACCACAUGUUCUUCAUUCACCUACCAGUGCAUCUUUUGGCUCUUGUGAGUAAUGCUGUCACGAACAUGAGUGUGCAAAUAUCUGUUCAAGUCCCUGCUUCAGUCUUGCUCAUUUUUAUGUCCUGUGUCAUCUUUAGCACUGAUGAGUAAAACUCUUUCCAUUCUCGCAGAGUAGCCCUUUGGGGGUACUCUUUUAAUAUUCUGUAUUCUAUAGCAAAGCAAAAAAAAAAAAAAAAAGAUUGGAAAAUGUUGCUGACAAUCAACUUGUAGGACAAGUUAUUUUUCUUUUUGCAGGAAUCUUGCUGUUAAAGCACCCUUUUGUAAUCCCAUUUCAGGGCACGCUGAGCAGUUGAUCUGUUUACUGGCCGACAUGUGGUUUGGAGGGGAGGCUGUGGAGGGUGGAGUGACCCACUCUGGCUUGAUGCUGGGGCUCUGCCAGCUCAUCUGUGUCUUUAAAACAUUCUGCACAUGUUCACUUGAGACUGGCACCUGCCCUGCGCCAUCACCCUCUGUCACUUCCUUCCCUGUAUUUCAAAUUGAGCUUUCAAUGUCCUGCCCAGAUGCCUGGUUAAGAAGUCAUAGGAUUAAAAAACCAAAAAACCAAAAUAAUCCCCCCACCCCACAAGACACCCAGCACCUAAAGAAUAACCCAGUUCUACUAACUCAUUGUAAAACGUUUGGCUUUAUUUGGGUCUCAACCAUGAUGCCCCAAACCCCACGGGGCUUUCUCUCUGGGGAUCUUUCUGCGUUUUGGCUUCCCUGGGGCCCCACACACUCGGUUUGGUGGGCUAGUUCUGCCUUGUGUUUCAUCACAGGAAAGUUAUUCUGGGUCUCAAAAAGGCCUCGUAAAUCUGCUCCCCAGAUGGAAGUCUCCAGUAAAAAUCUCCUCUCUUUGUGCAUCUCUCAAAUUCCUCUUUAAUUUAAUUCAACAAAUGAAUAAUCAAAUGGGGUGUGAGAUAAGCUGUAAUCCCCCCCCCCAAAAAAAAAUUUUGUUUUUAAACAAGCACUAUUGUGAAUUUGACCACUUUCCUUAGUUUAUGAUUAGCCAAGUAUGCAGCAGGCGAACGGGUGAUUCCUCAGGAAGGCAGUCAAGGGUAAGCUGAAGGUCAUUAACCAGUGCACAGCACUGGGUAGGCAAAAUGUUACUGGAUCCUAGCAUAUUUGUUAUUCCUUUCUUAAAAGGAACUUCAUAACACAAGUUUGAGUUUAUAAGAGGCUGAGAUAUAAUUUCUCUUUAAAGAGACAGGUUAAGGGAUAGGUAGGCCCCAGGGUCAAGGGCAUAGGGAUCAGCAUUGUGACCUUGGAGUGGAGAACUAGACCUGACACGGGUCUUAGGACUUUUGUUCUGCUCCCAAGCAGGAGAGAUGACAUGGGGAGGUGCUGCUUGUGUGACUAGGCCUGGUGACUUGGUGGGUUGAUGGCACCUUUUGGGCAGCCUGUGGAUGUCUGCCCUGAAACCCAACGGAAGCAUUCCUUCCUCCCUCCCUCUCCCCACAUGCACAGCUGAGGCUGGGUUUCCCCUCUUCUGUACAUGCUUCUGCUUUGGAUUAUGGGCAUAAGAAACACACAGUGUUCUUUCUACAAGUACACACUUUUUUUUAAAGCCUUUUAUAUGUUUUUUUAAAAUAUAUGUUUUUGCAGGGUGUGGUGGUGCAUACUUUUAAUCCCAGUGGCUCAGGAGGCUGAGGCAGAAGAUCUGCAGGUUGAAAGCCACCCUCAGCAACAUAACGAGGUCCUAAGCAACUUGGAGAGACCCUGUCUCAAAAUAAAAAUAAGUUAAUUUAUUGUGGCUCAGUGGUUAGGCACUCCUGGGUUCAAUCCCUGGAAGAAAAAUUUUUUCAAAAGUAAUAAUUCUAUAAUUUUUUUAGAAAUUAUUUUUUUAAAAAAAUAAUGUUUAUAAUUUUUCCAAAAAUUAUAAGAGCCUCCCAGGUAGGUUGAAACAAAACAACACAGAACAGCAAAUAAAAAGUACUUCAACCCCUCCUAUCCCUCCUGGUUUCUCCCCACUCUCCCAAACCCAUAAUCAUGGAAUUGCACAUGAACCCUCUGUAUUCUUAUUUUAUAGAAAUAUUUUAUGAAUUGCAUAGCAGGUGGUUUUGCUUUAGAGAUCUGGAGUCAUCGUACAGCUGCCGUUGCUUCUGGGUUUCAGUUACCCAUGGUCAAUAGGCAUCCUUGUCCUGGCCUGUCAUCAGAAGGUCCACAGUAGCCUAAGCUAUGUCUCCAUGUCUGGGUCUUUCCCUUCAGUGCAUCUUAUCACGAGGGCAUCGCAUCAUCUCACACCGUCACAGGGAGAAGAAGAGUGAGUUCAGUAUAAGGAGAUGAUUUGGGGGGAGAAAAAGAGAGUGACUAUAUUCACAUACCUUUCAUUACAGUAUGUUGCUAUAAUUGUCUUAUUGCUAUUUUUAAUCUCUCACUGUGCCUAAUUUAGAAAUUAAGCUUUAUCAUAGGUGUGGGUGUGGAUAGGAAUAAAAAAGCAGUGGACCAUACUGGGCUUGGCACUAUCUACAGUUUCAGGUAUCUGCUGGAGGUCUGAGGUUAGAGGGGGCUACUGUACAUAUAUUUGUGAAUGUUUUUCACUUUUGAGUAUAGCAUGGACAAGUUUCCAGAUCAGUAUAGAGACCGAACUCAUUUAAGAGGUACGUACCACUACCUAUGAAAAUUUGCUACCAUUUAUUCAGACAUCCCUGAUUGACAGACUUGCAACUUGCUUCCAGGUUUUACUACCAGGAACAAUGCUACAACUGGAAUCCUGUACAUAGAAACACCCAAGCUUUUACUUCUAGAGGAUGGAUAUCUUGCAGUGAGGUUCUGGGGUAUGCCCAAUUUUAAUACAUAUUGAUUGUUGACUUUCCCAAAAUUGAGUAGCUCACACCAUCGCUGGCAAUGGGAGAACACCUUAAACAUUUACAUUUCCUUUCCUGGGACUGGCCUAUUAUUUUUCAUAUUUGGGGGGGGUGUAUCUUUAAAUUAUUGAUUUAUAGCUCUCCAGCUGCCAUAUCAUUAUAAUAUUUCCUUUUAGCCUAUUCGUUGUCUUUUGACUUAGUGGUCCACAUCUUUUGUCAUAUGGACACCAUGACACCACAGAUGACUUUUCUUGUAGUCAAAGCUCUCGAUCUGUUUUUGGCUUCUGACACUCUUGCUUAAAACCUUCUCUACUUCAAGCAAGCAUCUCUCCCAUUCCCCAUUUUAUUCUAAAACUUCUAUUACCUAUUUUUGAUAUCAAAAUCCUUACUCUCUGUUGAAAUUUAUUUUUAAAGAGGAGAUGGGAAAGGAGAUAUGUAUAAUUAAAUUAUUUUUUCCCAGAUAGUUUCCAGUGAUGCCAACAGCAUAUAUGAAGCAAUCAAUUUCCUCUCUUUAAACUGAUGAUAAAUGCAUCAUAUGGUACUUGUUCUUAUUUCUGGGAUCCGUUCUUUUCCACUGAUCCAUUUGUUCCUGUGGCAAUUCUACAGAGUUUACAAUGGCUUUAAUCAUUAGUGUCGAUGUAUGGAAGGGCAAGCUUUCUCAUCAUUUUAGUUUUAAAUAUUUUUGGUAACUUCCAUGGAAAUGUUAACAUUAUCUAGCACCCAGACAUUUUCUUGGUAUUCCAAUUGGAAUUUUUAAAAAAUCAUCAUAUCCUUUUAGAAGACAUAUAUUAUUUUAUUGAGUUUCUCAUCCAGGAACAUUUUAUGUCUUUUAGUAAAAUUUUGUAGCCUACUUUGCAUAAAUUGUAUCUAUUUCUUGUUACAUUGAUUCAAAGAUAUUUUGUGUUUUUUACUAUGUUGAUUGAGAUUAUUUUUCAAUUUCCUUUUAAAAUUAUUUAUUUAUUUAUUUAUUUUGAGGCAGGGUCUAUCUUUGUUGCUCAGACUGGCUUUGAACUCUUGAUCUUCCUGCCUCAGCCUUCUGAGUCGCUGGGAUUAAAUGGGUAUAUCACCAUGCUCAGCACCAUUUCAUUUCUAAACUGGCUAUUACUAACAUAAAUAAGAACCUUUGAAUUUCAUAAAUUUAUUGCAUGUAGUUACCUUAUCAAAUUGUCCUAGUUCUUAUAAUAGAUUUUAAAGAUAGAAUCUUUCCCUUUUUCAGGUGUAGUCAUUUUAAUAUGUAAACAUAUUAGUCUUCCAAUGGUGAGAUUCCUUUUUAAGUUUUCUUGUCUUAUCGCAUUCGUGAGAACUUGCCAAAGUAGAUUGAAUAACUUUGGUGAAGAAGACAUUUUUGCCCUAGUUCAUAUUUGAAGGAAACCACUUUGCUAUUUCCUUGUUUGAUAUAAUGUCUGUUGGUCUUGAAGCUUUUUGUCACUCUUUAAAAAAAAAUUAGGAUUGUCUCCUGGAUUUUAUCAAAUGCCUGUUUUUCUUCAAUGUGAAUAUUAUUUGUCAUCUUUAAAAAUAAACCUCUCCCUAAGGGCCCCCACUUUCAAUGAUGUUGCUAUUAGCUGGAAAUUGAAAAAAUCUCACAGUUAGCAAUGGAUGUCAAACUCUGGUAACUUGCCACAUCCUGUGGAGUCCUGGAUGAUGUCAGCUUGGAGUUGUCAUUUGCAUACAGCAAGGAAAGGCACAGCAAGACAGAAACCAGGGACUUACGGGAAGGGUGGAGGUGAGUGUCUUACUUCUGAAGCAGCUGGGGAGACCAGGAAGCAGGAGCAGGGUGAGGAGUGCUGAUCACCAGGUGCUAUCAAUCAACCCGACAGCGUGAACCUGGGCGGCAAGGGUGGGGCGGAGGGUGGAAGCCAGUAUGAUUCUUCACUAAGCAUUGGGUAGAAAACUCCAGAAACCUGUGGAGCAGAUACCAAAGUCUGGUGUGAAUGACAGCUCAGGCCAUGGGCAGGCCAGGUGAGUGAGGCAUAGGAAUCAGAGGCUGGGGAGUAGGUGUAGGUGAUUCCAUGGUCGAGCUUAAUCUCCCGGGGUUUAGGACUACUGUGAAAGGCUGAAGAACUUGUUUCUUUGUCAUAUUUUGGGUAUUUUUAAUUUUAUGUUUUCUUUUUAGACUUUUAAUUUUUAUUUAUUUUUCUUGAGACAGGGUCUUGCUGUGUUGCUCAAGCUGGCCUCAAACUCCUGGACUCAAGCCAUCCUCCUGCCUCAGCCUCCAGUAGCUGGAACUACAGAUACAGGCUGGGGUCAUCUUGAAGAUAGUUUGGUAGGUUAUCUGUGAAUAAAAUGUAUGAUGAAAAAUUUGAACAACAUAGGCAUUAGUGCUUCCUGAGUGUUAUUGGGUGCUUUCUUCCUUUACAAAAGAAAUAUUAUCUUAAGCCCUCAUUUUUUUUUUUUUUGGUACCAGGGGCACAUGACCACUGAGCCACAUCCCCAGCCCUAUUUUGAAUUUUAUUUAGAGACAGGGUCUCACUGAGUUGCUUAGUGCCUUACUUAUUGCUGAGACUGGCUUUGAACUUGUGAUCCUCCUGCCUCAGCCUUCCUAGAAGCUGAGAUUUCAGGAGUGUGCCACCGGGUCCGGCCCAAAAUUUUAAAAUAAUCUUGAUUCCUAAAAAAAGGGAAAUAUAAAACAUGGAUAAAAAUGUGAUCUAGAAAACAGAAAAAUACAAAGAAAAAUAAGAAUAUAACCCAUCUUUUAAAGAAAAACUUCAAUACAUAUUUUAGUGCAUUUUCAUUCAGUCUUUUUUCUGUGAUUUGGGAUUAUAGAGAAUCUACAUGGAUAAAGUUUUUUUUUUCCUUUGUCUUUACUGUUUUCACCCAGAGAAAUUUUCUAGUGUCAUUAGGGCAUAUGAUCAGGAAUAUCUACAGUGCUUAGCAGAUAUGCAAGAAAUUGUUUCACUGAAUGAAUUGUUUCACUGAAUAUCAUAAAAAUCUCUGUGAACAGAACUUUUAAUAGCUACCUGGAAUUUCUCCUCUGUACACACCCUAGUUUAUGGAAGCCUUGAGGCAACCCUCUCCUUUCUCUCUAGCCAUGUGUCUUCAUUGCCUUGACCACCCCAAAUUUCUAGAAUGUUCUCCACACCCUCCCACUGAGUGCUGGACACUGGCUCCUUCCUCUGCUCUCCAUGCCAGGCUAACUCAUCCUUUUAGGUUCCACUUUGUAGACGCUCACCUGGCAAGACCGCCAUGUCCCCACAGCCAUUGGUCAGACUCAUCUUGGUCUCCCACACGGUCUCAAAAGAUCCCUGAAAUUGGGAAUUGUACCUUAUUUCUUUGGGGAAAUAUAUCCCAGGUAAAAUCGGGGCUUUGUGCAAUCAUAUUCACCAAAUCUGUAUUUAUAAAAGUGAAGAAUUAGACGUGUUCUCUCCGCCCACCCAAAUAAGGAAGGAGACCUGUAAGCUAAGCCACCCCAAGCCAGGAUGGGUCAUCCUUGGAACAGCCAUAAAAAUAUUCUUGGGUGGAUUCCAUUAACAAAUGCAAGACGGGAUCACAAAGUAACAAGUGGCAAAAACAAAUCCUAGUGAUGAUACAUCUGCGAACGUGUGUAGAUGUGUCCUAUAUUGGAAGAGAUUCAAGGCAUAGAUGCUCAGGAUAGUUAAGAAAAACUGGGCCAAAAGUCAAAUCCCAUAAUUUAAGCAAUAGUAGCAAACUUCACAUAGAAUUCUUCAUGAAAACGAGCACAAAGUUAUUGAAAUAUUGAGCACUGUGUGCAACAUAAAAAAGCGGAGGACAGGAUGUGUCUCAGGGUCUAAGCACCCUUUGGUUCAAUCCCCAGUGCCAAAACCAAAAAAGAUUACUUGGGAAAAAGUGGAGUGGCUCUUGUUAACUAUUCCUCCAACAUCCCAAUAUUCUUGUUGGAUAUGAAAUUUCUUUUCCAAUACACUGUGGUGGGUUUGGGCUAAAUGUGUUUGCUGAUACAUAGAAAAGAGCCUUUCAAAGUUCUCCGACUUUGAUGUGCCUAAGAAUCCCCUGGGGAUCCUGACAAAACAUGCAUCCUGAUUCUCCAGGUCCUGGUGAGGCCUGAGAUCCCCCUACUUCUCACAAGCUCUCUAAGGAGCUGACUAUAGCAUGAGCAGAUUUCAAUCAGUGAGAUUCUUGUUUGUUUGCUUUUUAAUCUUUUGUAUCUGCUGCUGCUAAAUAUGCAAACUAUACAUCCUUGUCACCCACCCCCUCCAUAUUCAGAAGUGCCUCUGAUUGAAAAUACCACUGUCUUGUGACCUCUCUCAGCCAAAAAGAAACUGCUUGAAUUUUUCCUAAAAAAUACCUUGAGUAUUCCUAACAUACAUAAUGUUGGAUAGGUGUUCCCAACUGCAUGGGAGGCCCAUUCUUCUUCCUUCUUGACAGUUAUUUUCAUGAUUGUUAUUUUUGUAUCUCUCACACUAUUUUCACAUGAGAAAGGUAAAAUUCUCCAUGAAGCCUUCCAGCAACCCUGUGGAAAAAUAUGCAAGUCUUUGAUAAGGCAGAGUUCCAAAUAAUAUUGAGUGCACCCACUGUGAUUCAGCUGACACUGUAGAACAAACAGUCCCCUGUCAAAGGCUGGUGUGUUGGUCAGUUUUCCAGUACUCUAACAAAAUACCUGAGAUAAUCAACUUAUAAAGAGGAAGGGUUUGUUUGGGUUUACAUGUUUUAGAGGUUUCAUUUCAUGAUUGAUUGGCUCUGUUGCUCUUGGACCCGUGGUGAGGCAGCAUGAUGGGGAGGGAGUGGCAGAGCAAAUCUUGCCUCACGAUGGCUGGGAAGAGGGAAAGUCAGGAAGGGACUGAAUUCCCACAAUCACACCCUCAAUGACUUGAACACCUCCCAGCAGGCCCCAUCUCUUAGAGUUCCACUGCCUUCCAAUAGCACCAAGCUGUAAACUGCAGAAGAUGGCAUUUGUUGGUUGUUUCCAUGGCUCUCAACACUUGAGUCAGGUACCACUUUAGCCAAGCCUGGCUCUCAGAGAGGGAAAGAAACAGCAGCCACCCUCCCUGAUACCAUUAUACAUCUUACUUUUCAACAUCUUCUAUGGUUACAGUCGAGGUGUUUUGAGUUUUACUCUCUUUCUUCCUAUUAAACAAGUAUCAAGAAUAUAAAGGGGCUGGGGUCAUAGCUCAGGGGUAGCGGGUUUAGCUCGCACAUGUGAGGCAUUGGGUUUGACCCUCAGCACCAUGUAAAAUAAAUAAAAUAAAGGUAUUGUGUCCCUCUACAACUGAAAAAAAUAUGAAAAGAAAAGAAUGUAAAUUAAGUUCCUUUUUGCUUGAAGUAGGCUUCGCUACUAAUUAUACUUUCUAGUUGAGGUUUUUGCGAUUAAUUUCUAGAUCCAACAAUCGGAGACCAACUCCCUGCAACUGUGCCCUGUUUUUCUCCUUCACCUGCCUGGUCCCUCUUCCCUCUGCUUUCUUCCCCUAGCCUGAUGUCACUGGACAUCAGGAUGAUGUCACUGGACAGCGGGAGGAGUAAAACCCACCAUCGUGAGUCCAGGGUCACCUCGGUCAGUCAUCACUGUGUCCUGUGAACUCCUGCCAUCAUAAUGGGUGAACACAUCCUGAUCACAGGCAGAGUGGCCCAGGGGGAGCAGGGAGUCUGGUGGAGGGGAAGUGGCUCUGUCCAUGGCUGUACCCCUGACUCACUGUGUAAACUUAGAUUCACUGUUUAGCCACUAGGUUUUUUUUUUUUUUAAAUCCCUUUGUUCUGAAUUAUACAUAUUCCCUAUAAAUCUAGAAUGCAAUUUCCAAAGAAUUAUAGCAUCUUUGUCUUGGCAGAUGUCUUGGGAGGGUUUAGGAAACCCUGUGUUCAUGGACUUGUUCUCCAGCCUGGUCCUUUGCAUGGUGUAUGCAACAUACCCCUCUCACACGGGAGAGGACCAGCUCUCACGGCCACUGGCUAGAUGUUUGUGUGUAAACACAGACAAAAAUUGAAAUGUACCCAAUAGUAAAUAGACGUUUGCUGGAAUCGUCAUUACUCUCUGCAAAAAUCAUAGCUACCUCUCAGGACUUCUAUUUACAAUACCCUUACAGUGCGCAGACUCUGUACUAGCCCCGCUUUCUCAGCAGAAACUUAAACAACUCCAUAAAUUCCCCAGAUCUGUUCAAUUUUCUUAUUCCUCAGAUGCUCACUUUAACCCUUUGCCAUCCCAACCAAGGGACUAUUUUUCUAACCACUUUUGCCUUGCUUGAUCCCAUUUUAAAAUUUAACCGCCCCCUUCAACCUCUGCACCUCAAUCUUGCAACAUAAACCAGGAAGUAGCCAGGUUCAUAGAUUGUGGACAAAUGGGAACAGAGCUGCCGGUUGAACCAUCAGUCUGCUUUUUCCUUAGCUGUAGAAAAAGAGGGUUUGUAGCUUGAGGAGUAGAUCAUUUUUCAGGGGCUUCCAGGCUAAUAAUAUUCUAUCCCUGUUGGCAAAAUUCCUCCCGCAAGUUGAGCAAGUCACUGUGACCCUCUGUACAGUAUAAAUGCCUCUGAUAUAGACUCUCAUUGGGAAAAGUCCUGGAAACACAGAGUUUGGAAACUGUAGGAUCUGCUCCAACCACGUGCCGCUCGGUUAGUCCCUCGCCCCUCUGACCCUCGCUCCCGUUUCUAGCGGAUGAAGGACCACUGCUGUCUUGGAUGAAAAGCCUGUACAGGAGAGAGG